CACGUGAGAAUCUGCCCUUAGGAGGAGGAUAACAGCUGGAAACGGUUGCUAAUACUCCAUAUGCUGAAAAGUGAAAGGAUUUAUCUGCCUAAGGAGGAGCUCGCGUCUGAUUAGCUAGUUGGUAAGGUAAAGGCUUACCAAGGCGACGAUCAGUAGCUGGUUUGAGAGGACGAUCAGCCACACUGGGACUGAGACACGGCCCAGACUCCUACGGGAGGCAGCAGUGGGGAAUUUUCCGCAAUGGGCGCAAGCCUGACGGAGCAAUACCGCGUGAGGGAUGAAAGCCUGUGGGUUGUAAAC
rnacentral:rRNA from 1 species